AAUCUCCAAAUGAUGUGGUUGGGAAGAAGAUUGAGAGUAUUUCUCCAUUCUAUUCUCAAAAGGAAUAUUUGUUUCUUUCCAUCUGACUGUAUACAUAAACUCCACCUCAACUUCUUUGUCUUCAGUGAGAUCCACCACAGCAUUAGGAUCAGCUUUCGCGUUUAUUUCUAUGACACGAUCUUUGUUGUAGAGGAUCUCAAAGUGAAGAUGUUUAAAAAGGUAAAAUCUUUCCUCGCUAGGGUCAUUUUUGUCUUUUUCAACUUUCCCUAGAAAGCCCCAGAAAGGCAAGUCAUCAUAGUACAUUUGGAAAUAAUAGUCCUUG
rnacentral:lncRNA from 1 species